UAAGGUCUAACCUGCCCAAUGAGGGUUUAAAUGGCCGCAGUAUUUUGACUGUGCAAAGGUAGCAUAAUUAUUAGUUUUUUAAUUGAAAGCUUGUAUGAAGGGUUGGACGAAAUAAAAUCUGUCUUUAUUUAAAUUACAGUAGAAUUUAACUUUUAAGUCAAAAGGCUUAAAUUUUUAUANAAGACGAGAAGACCCUAUAGAUCUUUAUUUAAUUAGUAUUUUAAUAAUUUAGGAUUAUUUUCGUUUAAAGUUUUAAUUAAAUUUUAUUGGGGUAAUAUAAAGAUUAAAAUAAUUCUUUUUAUUUUAUACAUUGAUUUAUGAAUAUAUGAUCCAAUAUUAUUGAUUAUAAGAUUAAGUUACCUUAGGGAUAACAGCGUAAUUUUUUUGGAGAGCUCAUAUCGAUAAAAAAGUUUGCGACCUCGAUGUUGGAUUAAAAGUUAGCUUGGGUGCAGAAGCUCAAGAUUUUGGUCUGUUCGACCAUUAAAUUUUUACAUGAUCUGAGUUCAGACCGGCGUAAGCCAGGUCGGUUUCUAUCUUUAUUUAAUUAAAAUAUUUUAGUACGAAAGGACCAGAUAUUUAAUAUAGCAAUAUUUAUUUUUUGAAUAAUAUUAUUACUUUGGCAGACUAGUGCAAUGAAUUUAGAAUUCAUGAAUGUAAUUUUUUUACAAGUAAUACUUGUUUUUAGGAGAUUUAUUGUUAAUAGUNUUAUGUAUAUUAAUUCUU
rnacentral:rRNA from 1 species